rnacentral:lncRNA from 1 species
UUCCUUCGCCCCGAUUUGGGCUAGGGCUUUGCCGCUCCGCCUCUCCAAUCGGCUGCAUCUGCGAUUUGGGGCUAGGGCUUUGCCGCCGCCGCCGAUCUGCCUCUCCAGGCAGCGCCUCUUCCUUCGGGUUUGGAGAUUGAGGGGAUUUCGCUGCGAUUUGGGCGAGCGGCUGAAAAUCGAAGCCUGGGUCCGCCGAUUUGGGGGUGAGCGAUGGAGUGUCGAUUGGGUUAUCUCUUUCCUUUUUUGGGUUUUUAGCUGAAAAUUGAAGCGUGGUUUGGGUGAGGAAGGUGAUGCAAAGCCUGGAUUAAUUUUUGAUUGAAGCCUUUUUUUGGCUUUGGUUGAGAACCGAAGCCUAGCUUUGAUGGGCGCCGAAGCUCGCCUGUCGUUGAUUCGCCUGUGAAGGUGAAGUCUGGUUUGGGUGAGGGGCGAGCAGCGACCACCGGCGCCGGCCCCGGCGUCGCCGUCGCCAUCACCAGAUGCAGUGAAGUUGGGUUGAAGAAGAUAAAGUUAGGUUGAAGGAAAUUUUAAUUAAUUCAUUAAUUUUGAUGGACCACAUUUAAUUAAACACUAACUAUCCCUUUCUUAAUCUCUGUGCCGAAAAGAACGUGACCAACUUUAAUGGGACGGAGGGAGUAUAAAAAAAUACAUAAACUUUAAUAUUG